GGUCAAGUGACCAAGCGUGCACGGUGGAUGCCUUGGCAGUCAGAGGCGAUGAAGGACGUGGUAAUCUGCGAUAAGGUUCGGGGAGUUGAUAAACAAACUUUGAUCCGAACAUUUCCGAAUGGGGAAACCCACCCGCUUGCGGGUAUCAUUAAGUGAAUACAUAGCUUAAUGAGGCGAACUCGGGGAACUGAAACAUCUAAGUACCCGAAGGAAAAGAAAUCAACCGAGAUUCCCUAAGUAGCGGCGAGCGAAAGGGGAUUAGCCCUUAAGUUGAUUUGGUGUUAGUAGAACAAGCUGGAAAGCUUGGCCGUAGAGAGUGAAAGCCUCGUAUACGAAAACACCUUUUCAAUGAAAACGAGUAGGACGGGACACGUGGUAUCCUGUCUGAACAUGGGGGGACCAUCCUCCAAGGCUAAAUACUCCUGACUGACCGAUAGUGUACCAGUACCGUGAGGGAAAGGCGAAAAGAACCCCGGCGAGGGGAGUGAAAUAGAACCUGAAACCGUGUACGUACAAGCAGUGGGAGCGGACUUAGUUCCGUGACUGCGUACCUUUUGUAUAAUGGGUCAACGACUUAUUUUCAGUAGCAAGGUUAACCAUUUAGGGGAGCCGUAGAGAAAUCGAGUCUUAAUAGGGCGUUUAGUUGCUGGGAAUAGACCCGAAACCGGGCGAUCUAUCCAUGAGCAGGUUGAAGG
rnacentral:rRNA from 1 species